rnacentral:piRNA from 1 species
UUUGAAAAUAAUGCCAUUUGUCCUCACUUU